rnacentral:rRNA from 1 species
GAUGAACGUUGGCGGCGUGCCUAAUACAUGCAAGUCGAACGGAGAAUUUGAUGUAGCAAUACAUUGAAUUUCUUAGUGGCGAACGGGUGAGUAACGCGUUGGUGACCUACCCCAAAGAGCGGGAUAACGGUUUGAAAAGAACCGCUAAUACCUCAUGUGAUCAUAUGGAUUAGAAGCCUAAUGAUUAAAGGAGCUUGCUCCGCUUUGGGAGGGGCCAGCGUACCAUCAGCUGGUUGGUAGGGUAAUGGCUUACCAAGGCUACGAUUGGUAGCCGAACUGAGAGGUUGAUCGGCCACAUUGGGACUGAGACACGGCCCAGACUCCUACGGGAGGCAGCAGUGGGGAAUAUUGGGCAAUGGGCGAAAGCCUGACCCAGCGACGCCGCGUGAAGGAUGAAGGUCUUCGGAUUGUAAACUUCUUUGAUCAGGGAAGAAAGAAAUGACGGUACCUGAAGAACAAGCCACGGCUAACUACGUGCCCAGCAGCCGCGGUAAUCUCGUCCUCUA